UGUGCUCUCAGUUAACAGCUGGGAACAAACCUGGAACCCCCAGGGAUGGGCUGGAGCUGUCUCACUCAGCUUUCUCACUUUUAGUUUGUCCCAAUUAGAAACACUUACACAGGGAUUAUCCCUGAUUUUCACCUGGGUACUUCAGGAUCUAAUUUCUACCAGGAAUAGCAGCUCUGGGCAGGCUACACAUUCUGACCUCUUAAAGCUUGCUUUUAUUUUUUCUUUUUUUCUUCUGCAUAACUCUGGGUGCAGAUGUUCAGGAAUCUCUUCCUGACACCUUUCUUUCCAAAUCAAACACCCUCAGGACUUGCAAACUUUGCCAGGGUUGAUAAAUGCCAGAUAAGUUCUCUGCAUCGUAAGCCAGCAGACCUGGGGGCAAAAGAAGAUCCCACAGGACUGAAAAAUACCACCGUUUGCUCAAGCCCAAGGUUUCCUUUCAUUUGCCUCCCAUGAAGACAGAUGUUACAGCUUCCAUUGCCCUCUCAAUGGAUUAGACAUGAGCUUCCCUGGUGAACAAAAAACGAGUUGGAAAAGUUUUUAACUUGGAUUCCUGUUUCAGAGCGACUGCAGUGGGAUGAGUCAGGCACUGCAGCUGCAGGAUAAUGAAGGAGAAUGUGUAUUUUAAUGAGCCCAUUUCAGAGCAGAUGUACUAAUGGCCUUCACAGCACUUCACAGCUGAGGAUGGAAGGCUGCUUGGAGUUCACCUGCUCCUGUGAUGGCCAGGUGGCACCAGAGAUGCUCUACAUUGAGCCCUGGCUUUCCCCUGCUGGGCAGCCAGCGUUGCCUGUGCUGCUGGUGGGGCAGAGAGGGACCUGCAGCCCCUGCCCAGGAGUGCCUUCACUCUGCAUCCAGCUCAGGGACACCCACAGCCACCUGUGGCUGCUGCCUUUGCUCAGCAAAGACACGUGCAGCCCUAACUGAAGUGGCUCUGCUCAUCGGUCACUUCUGCAUGUGUGGAAGCCCCCCUGCUACAAAAGCAAGAUUUCUGACCCCCAUGCAACACUCCUGCCUCCCAAAGACUUUGGGGCUGGUUGAACUGAAUUUCCAAACUUUAUUUGCUUAAGUACAUGUAGUGGCAACAGCUGCAGCUUCAGGCUGUAUGACCACUAAUGGCAGGAGGGCUGGGCUUUCACUGGAUAUACCCACCCACAGCAGCUCCCAGAUCUGUCCCCACUGCAGGUAACUUAGUCCACUCUGACAUGUUUUCUGUGGUGAUGCGUGCUUCCAGUACAAAACCAGUAUAACUGGGAUACACACCUCAGGUCUAAGAAAAUGAUAAGGAAAUGGAGACUGGGUCCCCAUGGUUCGAUGGUCUUUUAAUGCAUUUCCUUGUAACUAGAAUGAGGAUUCGUUUUUAUGGGGAUAGAGAGGUAAGGAACAACAGGUGCUCUGGGACCACAGAGGAGAAAACACAAAUUUUUCUCUAUUGGGACACUAUAUAGCUGCAGACUGAUAAGAUCUCUCUGAAAUCAAGGUGCUUUACACAUAAGCUGGUUAGGAUUCAGCUCUACCAUCCUCUUUGAUUCCGUAAUUCACGUUCAAGCAAAUGCUCUCUAAGACAUAGACUGUUGGUUAGCAAAGGUUACAGUGUAAUUAGCUGCUGUUAGCGCUGUUACUCUUUGAGACGAUGACAGCCUGAUGUCUGCACUCAGCUUAUCACUAAAAGUGUUCCUAGAGUCUGUACACUAUGUCAUCGUCAUUGUCAUUAUUGUUAGCAGCAGCAGCAUGUUACCUAGUGACUUGGACUCAGUCCUGCCGUGAUCUGUAACUCUCAGGCUUAUCCUCGGGACUGAAAGGAUUCCAUCUACACCUGCUGGUCCUUCUUCGUUUGCUCACAGGCUCUCAGGUUUGAGAGUGGGAGAGCACCCAGGGCCUAGCACUGAGUGAAGUGCAGCUGGAAUGAGUUGGCAUGUGCUUGAAGGAUAAAGGAUGGAUGACAAAGCACCAGGCCAGUCUUAGCAGACCCUGGCUUCAGUCAUCUCCCCUCUUUCCCUGGUGAUCUGGAUGCAAACUGGAAGUGAGGAAAAGUCUGCCUGCCCAGAAAAAGUCGUGCACAAACCAGC